UUUAAGGGAUAAGCAUUUAUUCUUUUUAAGACCCUGGAAAACACAGGCUUUGGUGCUGCAGCAUUCAGCUUAUGCAAAACCUGUGCCCCUUCUCCAGUUCUCGAGGUGGUGGAAGAAAAGGGCUGCUGCUUUGACAGGGGCUACUUGUGGACAGUUCUGGGGGCCUGAAGACCAGAAUCAAGAUGCUGGAAGAGCCGUGCUUUGCCCAGAGGGCUCAGGGAGGACGCUCUCUGACCUGUGCCAGCUUUGAUGGCUCCAGGCGCUCCUUGGCUUGUGGCCACAUCACUCCAGUGCCACCUCUGUCUUUGUGUGGCUUUCUCACGGGGAGCUUCACUGACCUGCUGCCAGGAUUAGGCACCUUGUGUACAUCAUCCCCAGGAAUGACUGGAGACAGCUGUGAGCCAGGUGGUGCGGUGCCCACUGCACAGAGGAGGGAGCGAGGCCCAUCUCCUGUCCUCACGGGAUGCUCAGCUGCAGAAGCCCGGAGCCCCGAGGCAGCCACAGACUCUGGCCAGAGUGAGGUAGGGGCACUGUACGCGUGGCAGGGCCUGUCUGGGAAGACACUGAAGCGUAGGCUCCGGUAAGUCAGGUUAUCGCCGAAGAGGAGUCAGAGAGGAGCUCUGGGUGGAGGGUGUGACCCCGAGUUGACCCUCCUCAUUUUACAGAUGGGGAAACUGAGCCUCAGAGAGAAGAACAAUGUGGUCAGGGUCCCACAGCGAGGGUGCAGGGGGCGGAACCAGCGUGGGACCCAAACCUGUCUGACUCCAGUGCUUCUGGGGACUAGGACUCUCUGCGUGUCUCUGUCUCUCGCCCAGGCAUGGACCUUCCAUAAUCAUGAGCGAGUGCCAACGUUUGCCAAGUGGCUGCUCUGUGCCUGCCGUGGAGCUGCAAGGUCUAGAGGAGACUCCAGCAGCGGCCUUGAUCACAGAUGCCAUGUGGAGGCCAGAGAGUGGGGAAGCCCCAGGGGACUGUGCAGCGGCCAGAGUGAGUGAGUGUCAGUGGAGAGGCCUUUAAAACCAUUCCCAGGGGCAAGGGACAGAGGCAGGAGAGGCCACAUGGAGAGGCCCCUGACCACCCAGGCUGGAGCCACCAUUGUCACUCAUCUGGAUUAUCGCAGCAGCCUCCUUGCAGGCACUCCUACGUCCAUCCCUGCCUCCCAGUAGCCCAACGAGGGACCAAGGCAUGAGUGCACAUGACGUCAUCUGCUGCAUGCCUUCCCAGAGCUCCCUCUCACCCACAGUCAGCACCAAUGUGUUGGGACACCCACACUUUUCUGCCUUCACCCAUCUCCGGGGUCCCGCCCCAACACCUCCACUUCCUCUUGCUGGCUCCCCAGAACUCUCUGCUUCAGACCUUGCAUCUGUUCUUCCCCCUGCCAUGGCUGUUCCAGGUUCAGACAUCUGCAGGGCCGUCUUCCUCCUCUCCUUCCCCAUGUGGCCCCACUGCCAGCUUCUCCGCGAGGUCCCCCUGGCAAGCCUCUUAAGUUGCUAUCCUGGCCCCAGGACUUCCCAUCACCCUUCCCUGCUUUAUUCCCUGCUCGAUGGCACUCUUCACCUUCCACUAUAUCCCCUACUUAUUUAUUACCUUCCUCCCCUCAACUAGAAUAUAAAUUUCAUGGAGGCAGAGAGUUCUCUCUGCAGCGUUCACUGCUCAACAUCCAGGAGGCUUGGCACCUACGAGGCGUCUAGUGGACCUCAGUCCAUCUUCUAAGAAUGAACAAAUGGGUGUCAAUCAUAAUUUGGGGGGUUUUGGUUAAUGAUCAAGAAGCCAUGUAGGUGAGCGGUUACAGGGACAGACUCAGGGUCAGGUAGACAUUAGAUCAAAUGCCAAUGGUGGCACAUGUCAGCUGUGUGACCUCAAGCAAGUGACUCAGGUUUGCUGUGCCUUGGUGUUCUCACCUGUUCAAUGAGGAUACAAGCCUCCCCUGCCUCACGAGGAGCUUGUGAAGAUGCCAGUGCACGCAAGGCAUGCAGCAUGAGGGGAAUACAGUAGGCGCUUACUCAGUGACAGACCUUCCUACCACAGGUGGAUUGAAGAUUCUUGGGAUUUCAGCAAAGCGGCUUGGAAGAUUGCCUGCUCUUUCUUUCCCUUGCAGGUGGGGAAGCCAAAGCAUAUUUCAGAGCCUGGGGAGGGUCAGAGUUUUGCUUUUCUUUCUAAGUUAAAAGCCCAAACCCCCCAGGAUUCUCCAGGGUGAAGUCGGAGCUUGCAGCCAAGUGUCACUUCAGGGGCAGAAUUCUCUACCUUGGGCUGUGUGGAGCAAACCCAACUGGGCCAGAAAGGCAGCUAUAUCAUCAGGGUUCUCCAGAAAAACCAAAUCAAUAGAAGAGAAAAGCAUCAUGUAUGAAUAUAUAGAGAGAUUUUUAUAUAAAAUAUAUGGAUAGAAAGAGAUUUAUAUAAUAAACAUAUCUGAAGAGAUUCAUUAUAAGGUUUUGGCUCAUGCGAUUAUGGAGUCUGAGGACUCCCAGGGGGAUCUGCCAUCAGCAAGCUGUAGACGGAGGAGGGUCAGUGGUGUAGACCGAAGGUCUGAGAGCCGAUGGAAUGGAUUGUCGGAGUCCAAAGAUCUGAGAACCGGGAGCAUGAGAGCGAGAAAAAGACCAGUGUCCCAGCCCGAGCCAUCAUGCCAAGGGAGUUCAACCCUCCUCCCCCUGUGAUUCUGUCCAGCCCUACCCAUCCGCAUGGGGCAGGACCAUCUUCUUUACUCAGCCCGCCCAUUUCAAUGGCAGUCUCUUGCAGAAAUGCCUCACAGACACACUCAGAAGCAAUGUGUGAAAGAUGAGCCCUAAUUCCACCCAGCGGCUGGCACAUCUGGACCGAGACCACUGGGGCUGACACCCCUGUGGCUGCUGUCAUGACUACGUCCUUGGGACACCGCGGAGGAUCAAGCCACUGGUUGUCAUGUGUAUCAGUGAAGAGUGGACAGGUCUGCCUCCUCCUCAAACCUCCCUCUCCAGAGAAGCCCCCGACACCACUCCUGCUUCAUCGUGUUCUUUUUGUUGUGAAAUUCCCCUGUUUAUGGGGUGACUGGUUUAACAUCCAACGCCCCUAGUGGCGAGUGAACUGAGCCUCUUGUAUCCAUGGGGCCUCUCGGCAUGGGUGAAAACGUCCCACCCAGAAGCAGUGCUCAAGAAACAGUUUCUUUGCUGAGUGCAUGCUUAGUUGCAGACCUGGAUACAGAAUCUCAAAGAGGAGAAGGGCUGUGCCUUGUACUCCGCUGGGUGAGUGAGUGGGCGGUAGCGUCUGGAGGAGGAGACAGUGUGCCCGAUUUCCCACGUGCUGGGCGCUUCUCCUGUGCCCUGUUCUGGGAUUUCCCAUAACUCUCUGCCAGUCUCAUUGCAGCCCGCCGGGAGGUGGGGCAGCUGGGUUGGAGAGGCGAGGAUGUGACUGUGGGCUAAGGUGCUGGAGGAGGGCAGUGCUUGAUAGAUAGCCACCGAGGGGUUUGGUGUGAGUAUGGGUGUGGUGUGGCCCACCCGCAUGAAAAGGCUACACAGACGUCAGCACUCCAGGGACCAUGCUGUCCCCUCUGCCUUGGCCUGGCACACCUUGUUCACUCCCUUGCAGCCUGCAACCCCCACGGGGCCCGGGUUGUGAGUAGCCACACCAGCUGAAAGUACCAAGAGUUUCUGGCCGUCUGGAGCCCAAACAUGUAAGCUAAGAGAACCCAAGGCCGGCACGCCCACCAUCUGACACUUCCUGGAACCUGCAGAUUUUGGAGCUGGGGAAUACCCUGGAGACCCUGGAUCUGGUGGGUCACCAAACUGCCGGUGCCCCUGGAAGACAGAGUGGGGCUGCGGGCCAGGGAUUCAGUCCACCAGGAGCAUGUUCAUGUACACCAGGCACACAUGUGGGCCGCAUGAUGUUCUAUUUGUACAAUGGGCUCUGUGGUUUUUAUUUUUAUUUUUAAAUAAACCUUUUUGUUUUGAGAUAAUCGUAGAUUUGCAUGCUGUUUUAAGAAACAAUACAGCAAAACCAUGUAUCCUUUACCUAGUUUUCCCCAGUGAUAACAUCUUGCAAAACUUGUAGUCUCAUGUCCCAACCUGGAUAUUGACGAUACCGUUCAGAUAGGAAACAUUUCCAUCCCUGCUGUGGCCCUUUUCUAGUAGCCACGCCCACUUAUCUCCCGCCCUCACCACCUCCCUAACUCCUGGCAACCGCUAAUCCGUUCUCCGUGUCUGUAAUUUUGUCAUUUUCACAAUGGAAUGUAAAUGGAAUCACGCAGCAUGUAACUUCUCUGGGUUUCACUUUUUUGGAUUGGAAGUAAUUUCCCUUCGAUCCAUCCAGCUUGCCGUGCGUAUCAAUAGUCGUUCCUUAUUACCACUGAGUCAUAUCCCACGCUGUAGCUGUGCCACUGUUUGCUAACCCACUCACCUGUUGAAGGACACCUGGGUGGCUUCCAGU